rnacentral:rRNA from 1 species
CCUACGGGAGGCAGCAGUGGGGAAUAUUGGGCAAUGGGCGCAAGCCUGACCCAGCAACGCCGCGUGAAGGAAGAAGGCUUUCGGGUUGUAAACUUCUUUUAAGAGGGAAGAGCAGAAGACGGUACCUCUUGAAUAAGCCACGGCUAACUACGUGCCAGCAGCCGCGGUAAUACGUAGGUGGCAAGCGUUGUCCGGAUUUACUGGGUGUAAAGGGCGUGCAGCCGGGAAGACAAGUCAGAUGUGAAAUCCCGGGGCUCAACCGCGGAACUGCAUUUGAAACUGUUUUUCUUGAGUACCGGAGAGGUCAUCGGAAUUCCUUGUGUAGCGGUGAAAUGCGUAGAUAUAAGGAAGAACACCAGUGGCGAAGGCGGAUGACUGGACGGCAACUGACGGUGAGGCGCGAAAGCGUGGGGAGCAAACAGGAUUAGAUACCCCAGUAGUC